ensembl:lncRNA
UGAAGCCAGAAAUUUCCCAACAGCCUCUUGGCUCUCCUGUCCUGACAUUCCCCACUGCCCCCCAGCCUGCGCGCCCAGGCCCUGGCCCACCCUACGCUGAUGUCCCACAAGGCUGUCUGUGUGUGUUUGCCUGUGUGCAUUCGUGUGCUAGCUCCCUCCCCCUCACUUCUUCCUCAGUUUGGACGACAAACAGACAGACCACCUCCCUGUUCAAGCAAUUUAACACCUGCUGAAGAAUUCAUGGCUUAUCUGCAUAAAGACAGAGCAGCUUUUAGACAAAAACACACUGCAUUGUGAGUGAAGUUCCAUGGCCAAACUUAAGGUGGCAGCAGCGAAUAGAUCAUCAGUCAACUUCUCAUCAGUCAUCAAGUUCCCUUAGAUUGGUAAAAUGUUCAUUUUUAUGCAAAAGAACCAAACCAGACCAGGCACUGGAUAUGAUGAAUGAAGCAAGUACUUCAAGUUAUAUUAAAGGCAUAGUUCACCCAAAAUUACAAUUCUAUCAUGUUGUUGCAAACCUUCUUUCUUCCGUGAAGCACAAAGAAAGAUAUUCUGAAGAAUUUAUCAGCUGGUAUUCAAGUCAGUGGGGUACAAUACAACAUCAUCUUCAUACAGAUGUGACUGGAUAUGAGUGCAGAAGGAUGUUGUGGAUGCACAGAGAGAAAACUGAAGCGAUCAACUGAAAGGAAGAGAAGGAUGGGAAGAAACCGAGGUAAAGGAGGACAAAAAAGAAGGAAGAGAGGGAGAAAUGAAGAGAAGAGCAGGAGAGAUUAAAAGAAAAAGGGUGACUGUUUUUUUUUUUUUCCUAAGCUAAGUUCUAAGCUAAUGCGCAGCUUUAGUAACACCCACCCUGAGCCGGCAAAUAUAAGCAGCAGAAUGCACACACACACAUCCAUACAAAACGGCUGCCUCCUCUGCACUGGCACCGUAAUCCCUUCUCUCCCAUUCACUUCUGCACACACACAUGCUCUCAAUGGGAGUGAGAUACACCCUUUGUUGCUGUAACAGAAACCUGGCAUGCUGAAGCCAAAGGCUGGUGAUGCGCACUGUGCGUGUGGCCAAAACGAAGAGAGAAACAUAGAAAGGGAAUGACACGGGAACAUAAACUCAUAGAAACACAUGCAAAAGGACAAAAAUAAGAGUGUUCGUUUCAGUGCCAGUACGUUUAAUCAUAGCCAGAAGGCAUGAUGUAGAAAUGUUAGGGUAAGCUCUGCUUUUAACCUCCCUGCCUGUCAGCGAUUAGUCAUGUGAGCUGAUCUGCUAACUCAGAAAGAAUACUCAGGCCUGGAACAGACCAAUCACGGGCCGGACCUGGAAUAUGCACAUCUCUGUCCAGACUUCGGUCAAAAUGAUGAAACUAAGAGAAAUUCACACCUGAAUAGCACAUUGCAGCAAGAGUUUGUAUAGAGGUGUACACACCAGUGUGGUUACAGUUAUGUAACCUUAAUUUUGGCUUAUUAUUAAAAAUAAUAAUAAUAAUAAUAAUUUCAAGUGGGAAAUGACUGCCAAAAACACAGAAUGUAUCAAAUACAUCUGAAUGAUCAUCAAUAAAAGAAAAAGUUAGGUUAGAGAGUCGGACUCG